GAUGAGAGCCCUUAAAUCAGUGGUUCCCAGACUUUAACAACCUGUGAACUCCUUUCACUAAAAUGUCACGUCUCACAAAUCCCCUCC